GAAACCUCGGCCGGACUUCCGUACGGGUUACUCUCAGAUAGGCGAUAAACCUGGACUAGGUAUUAGCGUGGUUAACGGUCGUGGCCGACUCCCUCGCUGGGCUUCCGCUUGAAGGUUGCCGAGGUGCAUGACGUGCACAUGGCGAUAAGUGGCGAGAGCGUGUGUGACGAAGUACACCCCUGCAGGGUUAUGAUCUAUUCGAAUAGCCGCGUCCGCGGAUAUGGACUACUUG
rnacentral:lncRNA from 1 species